UGGGGGAAUAUUGCACAAUGGGCGCAAGCCUGAUGCAGCCAUGCCGCGUGUGUGAAGAAGGCCUUCGGGUUGUAAAGCGCUUUCAGCGAGGAGGAAGGUGGUGAGCUUAAUACGCUCAUCAAUUGACGUUACUCGCAGAAGAAGCACCGGCUAACUCCGUGCCAGCAGCCGCGGUAAUACGGAGGGUGCAAGUGUUAAUCGGAAUUACUGGGCGUAAAGCGCACGCAGGCGGUUUGUUAAGUCAGAUGUGAAAUCCCCGGGCUCAACCUGGGAACUGCAUUUGAAACUGGCAAGCUAGAGUCUCGUAGAGGGGGGUAGAAUUCCAGGUGUAGCGGUGAAAUGCGUAGAGAUCUGGAGGAAUACCGGUGGCGAAGGCGGCCCCCCUGGANGAAGACUGACGCUCAGGUGCGAAAAGC
rnacentral:rRNA from 1 species